AGGACCAGGGACCAGCAGGGUGUUGGGGUACAGAGCUCCCUGGGUCAUCCUGUCCCCAGCCCUGGGCAGGGACAUGUUCACUCUUGCUUUAUGUAUUUCAGCUCCAGAAGAAGAGAGAAGCUGCUCCUGGCUGAACAUCUGGGUCUUCCUUACGUUUGCUCUUGCAAUCAAAGCUGCCUUUGUGACAAUCUGCCUUGGAAGGCAAAAGAAGGAAUAGUAUCUCUGAGCAAACAGAGCUUUCAUGGCUAACUGAGGAAGAUUCUGACCCUUUUGGAUCCUCACAGGGAGGAGCAGUUCCACAGCAGAUCGAGCCUGGAUGUGCUGCCCAGAGGGCUGGAGAAGGUUUCAAAGAAAAUGCUAUUUCCUGUCCCUUGAUACAAUGAACUGGGCUGAGAGUGAGCAGAACUGCACGGGGAUGGACUCCCAGCUGGUGGUGAUCAACAGCAAGGCAGAGCAGGUGGGUGCCCAGGGCUGAGAGAGGGAGCCAGCAGGCAGAGACACAGUGCUGGGCCCUGGAGGGGAUUCAGAGCCUGUCCUUGUCCUGCAGAGGAGGAGGAAUGUCCUGUCUGCACCUCUGCAGCACCAGCCCCUCUCCUCUGCCACCAUCUCCACAACACAGGGACUCCUGAUGCCUCCCUGUGCUCACUCCUGCACCUCAUGAAUAUUGCACUCUCUCUGUAAUUGCCAGGUUUUCCUCUCUGAACAGACAAACCAUCUCGAAAAAGGGAGAAUUUCCACAUUGGUCAGUUUGCCGAGAAGGUGGCCUAUGGCAUUGGGUGGAUGAGACUCCAUAUGAUGUGACAGCAGCGUUCUGGAGAAAACAUGAACCAAGUCGUGGCGUUGGUGAGAACUGCACUGUAAUCCAGAAUCCUGAAAAAAAUCUCAACAACUGGAAUGAUGUCAGAUCAGAUAAGGAGCAUUAUCGAAUUUGUGAAGCUUCUGCUGUAACUGUGUGAUGGAAAUACCCCUGUCCUGAGCAAAGCUGGGAGCUGUGCAGCGAGCUGGGAACAGCACUGGCUGUGUUGGGAGGGGUGGGGAGCCAUGACACAUCUUCACUGUGUGGGAAGAGACCAUGUGUGUGAGGAAGUGAAAUGAGCUUCAUCCAGCAUCCCCAGUGCAUGGUGCUCAGUGCAUGGGGUGGCUCAGAACAAUUUGCAGAACAAAUCCUGAAAACUUGGACAAGACAAAAUACAAUAGCAGAGAAAUGAAAAAAGGCUCUG
rnacentral:lncRNA from 1 species